CGCCGCUUGAAAAGACUAGAAAUAGUCUUUCUAGAUAGAUAAUCACCACACGACAGAACCCGGCUUACUA
rnacentral:RNase_P_RNA from 13 species